ACGAACGCUGGCGGCGUGCUUAACACCUGCACGUCGAACGGAAAGGCCCUGCUUUUGUGGGGUGCUCGAGUGGCGAACGGGUGAGUAACACGUGAGUAACCUGCCCUUGACUUUGGGAUAACUUCAGGAAACUGGGGCUAAUACCGGAUAGGAGCUCCUGCUGCAUGGUGGGGGUUGGAAAGUUUCGGCGGUUGGGGAUGGACUCGCGGCUUAUCAGCUUGUUGGUGGGGUAGUGGCUUACCAAGGCUUUGACGGGUAGCCGGCCUGAGAGGGUGACCGGCCACAUUGGGACUGAGAUACGGCCCAGACUCCUACGGGAGGCAGCAGUGGGGAAUAUUGCACAAUGGGCGGAAGCCUGAUGCAGCAACGCCGCGUGCGGGAUGACGGCCUUCGGGGUGUAAACCGCUUUCGCCUGUGACGAAGCGUGAGUGACGGUAAUGGGUAAAGAAGCACCGGCUAACUACG
rnacentral:rRNA from 1 species